rnacentral:rRNA from 1 species
ACUCUGUUGUUAGGGAAGAACAAGUGCUAGUUGAAUAAGCUGGCACCUUGACGGUACCUAACCAGAAAGCCACGGCUAACUACGUGCCAGCAGCCGCGGUAAUACGUAGGUGGCAAGCGUUAUCCGGAAUUAUUGGGCGUUAAGCGCGCGCAGGUGGUUUCUUAAGUCUGAUGUGAAAGCCCACGGCUCAACCGUGGAGGGU